GCCCCUGUAGCUCAACUGGAUAGAGCACGUGCCUUCUAAGCAUGAGGUUGCGAGUUCGAGCCUCGCCGGGGGUA
rnacentral:tRNA from 1 species